GCUGACAGUCAUACCACCCUGAAUGCUGAAUAUAUCUAAUCUCAGCUAAUUUGGAAGCUAAGCAUGCCUGGGCUUGUUUAGUACUUGGAUGGUAAGCCUCGGAAUACCAAGUGUUGUAGGCU
rnacentral:rRNA from 1 species